UACGGAGGGUGCGAGCGUUGUCCGGAAUCACUGGGCGUAAAGCGUGCGUAGGCGGCCCUGUCAGUCAACGGUGAAAGCUUGGGGCUCAACCUCGAGUCGGCCGUCGAUACUCCCGGGCUGGAGCACUGUAGAGGCAGGUGGAAUUCCGGGUGUAGCGGUGGAAUGCGUAGAGAUCCGGAAGAACACCGGUGGCGAAGGCGGCCUGCUGGGCAGUGGCUGACGCUGAGGCGCGACAGCGUGGGGAGCAAACAGG
rnacentral:rRNA from 1 species